rnacentral:rRNA from 1 species
UUAGAGUUUGAUCAUAGCUCAGGACGAACGCUGGCGGCGUGCCUAAUACAUGCAAGUCGAGCGAGCGGAACUAACAGAUUUACUUCGGUAAUGACGUUAGGAAAGCGAGCGGCGGAUGGGUGAGUAACACGUGGGGAACCUGCCCCAUAGUCUGGGAUACCACUUGGAAACAGGUGCUAAUACCGGAUAAGAAAGCAGAUCGCAUGAUCAGCUUUUAAAAGGCGGCGUAACUGUCGCUAUGGGAUGGCCCCGCGGUGCAUUAGCUAGUUGGUAAGGUAAAGGCUUACCAAGGCGAUGAUGCAUAGCCGAGUUGAGAGACUGAUCGGCCACAUUGGGACUGAGACACGGCCCAAACUCUACGGGAGGCAGCAGUAGGGAAUCUUCCACAAUGGGCGCAAGCCUGAUGGAGCAACACCGCGUGAGUGAAGAAGGGUUUCGGCUCGUAAAGCUCUGUUGUUGGAGAAGAACGUGCGUGAGAGUAACUGUUCACGCAGUGACGGUAUCCAACCAGAAAGUCACGGCUAACUACGUGCCAGCAGCCGCGGUAAUACGUAGGUGGCAAGCGUUAUCCGGAUUUAUUGGGCGUAAAGCGAGCGCAGGCGGUUGCUUAGGUCUGAUGUGAACUUCGGCUUAACCGAAGAAGUGCAUCGGAAACCGGGCAACUUGAGUGCAGAAGAGGACAGUGGAACUCCAUGUGUAGCGGUGGAAUGCGUAGAUAUAUGGAAGAACACCAGUGGCGAAGGCGGCUSUCUGGUCUGCAACUGACGCUGAGGCUCGAAAGCAUGGGUAGCGAACAGGAUUAGAUACCCUGGUAGUCCAUGCCGUAAACGAUGAGUGCUARGUGUUGGRRGGUUUCCGCCYUUCAGUGCCGCAGCUAACGCAUUAAGCACUCCGCCUGGGGAGUACGACCGCAAGGUUGAAACUCAAAGGAAUUGACGGGGGCCCGCACAAGCGGUGGAGCAUGUGGUUUAAUUCGAAGCWACGCGAAGAACCUUACCAGGUCUUGACAUCUWGYGCUAAYYUGUAGAGAUAMGGAGUUCCCUUCGGGGACGCWAWGACAGGUGGUGCAUGGUCGUCGUCAGCUCGUGUCGUGAGAUGUUGGGUUAAGUCCCGCAACGAGCGCAACCCUUGUUACUAGUUGCCAGCAUUAAGUUGGGCACUCUAGUGAGACUGCCGGUGACAAACCGGAGGAAGGUGGGGACGACGUCAGAUCAUCAUGCCCCUUAUGACCUGGGCUACACACGUGCUACAAUGGACGGUACAACGAGUCGCAAGCUCGCGAGAGUAAGCUAAUCUCUUAAAGCCGUUCUCAGUUCGGACUGUAGGCUGCAACUCGCCUACACGAAGUCGGAAUCGCUAGUAAUCGCGGAUCAGCAUGCCGCGGUGAAUACGUUCCCGGGCCUUGUACACACCGCCCGUCACACCAUGGGAGUYUGYAAYGCCCAAAGYCGGUGGCCUAACCUUYRUGGARGGAGCCGYCUAAGGCAGGRCAGAUGACUGGGGUGAAGUCGUAACAAGGUAACC